rnacentral:pre_miRNA from 1 species
AACAAACCAAUUUUUCACUUUUUACCUAUAAUAUUUGACUAUUUGUCUUAUUCAAAAAAAAUUUACAAUUAACAUUUUUAUUUUCACUAGAUGAUAAAUCAUGAAUAGUACUUAACGUAUGACUAUUUUUUUUUAAUUUCUUAAAAAAAUUUCAAAUAAGACGGAUGAUCGAACGCUGACACGGUAACCGAAGAGUUGGCUUAUC